rnacentral:rRNA from 1 species
GUCGAACGCUGGCGGCGUGCUUAACACAUGCAAGUCGAACGAAGUGGCGAACGGGUGAGUAACGCGUAAUCAACCUGCCCUUCAGAGGGGGACAAUAGUUGGAAACGACUGUUAAUACCGCAUACUGAAGGAGGGGAUGGCGUCUUAUUAGCUAGUUGUAGGGGUAACGGCCCACCAAGGCGAGGUUCAGUAGCCGGUCUGAGAGGAUGAAAGUCAACAUUGGGACUGUGACCAGGCCCAGACUCCUACGGGGGGCAGCAGUGGGGAAUCUUCCGCAAUGGACGAAAGUCUGACGGAGCAACGCCGCGUUAGUGAUGACGGCCUUCGGGUUGGAAAGCUCUGUGAAUCGGGGCGCGGUACCGGCAUAGAAAGCCACGGCUAACUACGUGCCAGCAGCCGCGGUAAUAC